UCAGAAUGGUGACAGAAACAAGGUGAGAAGGGGUCAGGGAAGUGAGUAUGAGAGAGAAGGGAAGAACAGAUAAAGACAGAAAAGCGAAUGGGAAAAAGGAGCGUGUAAUGAAAGCAGCUACAGGAAAACUGUUGCAAAAGAACGAGAACUGGUGGAGCUCCCACUCCUGCACCAGUGAUGGAGGUGGUGCAACAAGAACCACAAGUCCUGCUCACAUCUCCGUCCAACUAUUCCAAGACCACUUCAUUAUCCAACUGCAUGCCUCUUAGAAGAGAAGUCUUUGGGAGGAUUUGGCCAAAGAGAUGCUACGGAGACACAGAACAAGGCGCAAGAAUAUCUGCCAUUGUGAUUAGAUUACAAAGAUAAAAGAGAGAUCAUAGUAGAAA